rnacentral:tRNA from 8 species
GCCCAGGUGGUGGAAUUGGCAGACACAGGGGACUUAAAAUCCCCCGGACGUUUAGUCCUUGCGGGUUCGAGUCCCGCCCUGGGUA